rnacentral:rRNA from 1 species
UACGUAGGGUGCGAGCGUUGUCCGGAAUUAUUGGGCGUAAAGAGCUUGUAGGCGGUUUGUCGCGUCUGCUGUGAAAAUCCGGGGCUCAACCCCGGACUUGCAGUGGGUACGGGCAGACUAGAGUGUGGUAGGGGAGACUGGAAUUCCUGGUGUAGCGGUGGAAUGCGCAGAUAUCAGGAGGAACACCAAUAGCGAAGGCAGCUCGCUGGGACGGUACUGACGCUGAGGCGCGAAAGCGUGGGGAGCGAACAGG